UCGCUUUUGAACCCGUCGAAAGAGAGGGGGGGACACUGUGCGAAGAAAGAGGGAAAAGCCUGGAGGUCCUUAGUGUGAGAGAGAGGAGAGAAAAAAAAGAUUCAAAAGAUUUCAAAAUCUUCUAGAAAAUUUCUCACAUUUUAAAGUUUUUACUUCUUUGUACACUCAGCUGUGCGAUCAGAGAGUGUUUUGAAUGAGUCGUUUAGGGUACAAAUCCGUGGUUUAUCACGGCGAUAUUUGUUUGGGAGAAUUGGAUACUAUUCCGGUGUCGGACAAGAUUUUGCAGUUUCCAAACAACGAGAUUCGGAUUCACCACUUGUCUCCCGGCAGCGAGCGAUGCAUUCCUCUCUCAAUUCUCCAUACGAUUUCUUCAUCCUCGUUGCGUUGUAAGCUCGAAUCUUCGUCUCCAGUUGAACAACCUAAUUUGAUCAAUCUUCACGCCGCUUGCUACUACGAAUUGAAGACGGCGGUUGUGGUUUUUGGAGAUGAGGAGGUUCACCUGGUGGCGAUGCCAAGUAAGCAGAAGAAGUAUCCGUGCUUUUGGUGCUAUGCGGUUCCCUUGGGUCUGUACAAUUCCUGUUUAGGAAUGUUGAAUUUAAGGUGUUUAGCGAUUGUAUUUGAUCUUGAUGAAACACUUAUUGUUGCCAACACGAUGAAGUCGUUUGAGGAUAGAAUUGAGGCUCUUAGAGCUUGGGUUGCUCGAGAGACUGAUUCAAUUCGGGCUGCUGGAAUGACUACUGAGUUGAAGCGAUGCUUGGAUGAUCGAAUGUUGUUGAAGCAGUACACAGAGAAUGAUUUUGUGAUGGAUAAUGGAAAGAUGUUUAAGAUUCAACAGGAGGAGGUUCCUUCACUGUCUGAUAACCAUGAGAGAAUUGUUCGACCUGUGAUCAGAUUGCAGGAAAGGAAUCUUGUUCUCACGAGGAUCAAUCCUGAGAAUCGUGAUACUAGUGUGCUUGUGAGGUUACGACCUGCAUGGGAAGAUUUGAAAAGUUAUUUGAUUGCGAAAGGACGCAAGAGGUUUGAAGUGUAUGUUUGUACCAUGGCUGAAAGAGAUUAUGCCUUAGAAAUGUGGAGGCUUUUAGACCCUGAGGCACACUUGAUAAGUUCAAAGCAACUCCUGGAUCGUGUUGUUUGUGUGAAAUCAGGUUCCAAGAAAUCUUUGUUAAAUGUCUUUCAGCAUGGAAUGUGCCAUCCAAAGAUGGCAAUGGUGAUUGAUGAUCGUUGUAAGGUUUGGGAAGAUAAGGACCAACCUCGAGUUCAUGUAGUUCCUGCGUUCAGUCCGUAUUAUGCUCCUCAAGCUGAGACAGCAAGUGCUGUUCCAGUCCUUUGUGUGGCAAGAAAUGUUGCUUGUAAUGUCAGAGGUUACUUUUUUAAGGAGUUUGAUGAGAAUUUAUUACGAAGAAUAUCUGAAAUCUCCUAUGAGGAUGAUAUGAUAAAUUUGCCACCUGCUCCUGAUGUGAGCAAUUACUUGAUCUCAGAGGAUGCCAGUUUUGUACCAAAUGGCAAUACCAACACCCCAGUCGGUGAAGGAAUGAAUGGAGUUGAAGUGGAGAGGAGAUUGAACCAACUGGAUGAGAAGUAUGUUGUGGACUCAGCUGUGAACCCUAUGAAGAAUAAUUUUGAUUUGAAAUCUGAAACUUCUCAGCCACCAGUUGCAAUUAAUCUGAAUGCCACUGGUCCAACAUCUUCAGCAACACUCAUUCCUUCGCAAAAACCUAGUUUGCUUGGGGCUCCUAUUAGGCGAGAGAACAGCUCUGUGAGGCCUGGUUUAGAUUUAAGGAAUCAAAGCUCAAGUCAGCCUCCUCUUCUACCUCGAUUACCUGUGCAAACAUCAUCAUCCUCGAUGCAAGCACAGGGUGGCUGGAUAAUGGAAGAAGAUGUUAACCGAGUGUAUCAAAAUAAUCAACCAGGUUCAAGUUCAACUGGUGUACUUUCACAUGCAUCCCAAGGGAAGGGUGAAGAGGCAACUAAUUUGCAUAGACAAGACAUUCUACCAACAACUCAGCCUUCAGAGGUUGGUGUAUCACAAAAUCAUGCAUCCUCUAAUGGCAAAGAGGCUCAGAUUGAUGGUGGAAAAAUGAACUUCCUACCAUCCCAUCUGUCUAUUGGUGUGCUGCAAGAAAUUGGAAAGAGAUGUAGCUCAAAGGUUGAGUUCAGGUCUGUUGUAAGCACCAGUAAGGAUUUGCAAUUUUCUGUUGAGGUUUUGUUCACCGGUGAGAAGAUAGGUGUUGGAAUGGGUAAGACAAGGAAGGAUGCUCAACAGCAAGCUGCUGAGAAUGCCUUGCAUAGCUUAGCAGAAAAGUAUGUAGCAUAUGUAACACCUCGCUCUGGAGCUGUGGACAGAGAUUUUGAUAAGCUUUCUCUGGAAAAUGAAAAUGGAUUUCUGUGGGAGACUGUCAAUCCUGAAUCAGAUGAAGGGCCAAAAGAAGAUGAGUUACGCAAAGAAAGCACUCCUGAGGCUGCUGAUGUUGAACCUGGGAGUACUUCCUCCAGUUUUGUAAAUCAGCAAGUGCAAAAACGUGGCAAUUUCCCCAGAUCACCACAGUUUAUUCCGAGCAAACGGUCAAAGGAAGAACUUCAUGGUUCAGAAAGUUUACCAUCCUCUCGACAGCAGAAGAAUGGGCAUUCUGUUACAUGAAAAACAGUAAAGUGUAGAAUAGACCCAGAUCAAAGAGAGAAAAAUGGUCCAUUUGUACAUUCAUCUGCCCACUUUCCCCAGCAGAGCCGAAGUUGGCUCCGUUGGAGAGGUGCCGGUGGCGGCUCUUGGUGGCCAAGUUUGAACGGAUUUGAAUCAGAGGUGUAGAUUUGAGCAGGAGACACGAAACAAAAGGGAGAGAAGAAAACCUAAUUGCCAAAACGAAAGAGAACGAAAGAGAAAGAGAGUGAGAAAACGGAAGUGUUUUGAAGUUGAGCUCCUGUAUGUCCGGCAUUGCCUUUCGAUCCUUAUACUCCAAUAAAGUUUUACAACACCUAUAUAAGAUCCGCGGAGGUUUCAAACUUUGCGGCCACUCGAAGCUUUGCUUCAUUUUGAUUUGGGACUGGAGAAAUUAUACAUGCGGAUACGGCUGCCAUUCUUUAUAUAUCAAGUACCUGAUAACUCUGGUAUACAUUCACUAAUAAAAUAAAUGCUGGGCAUCACAAAUAAUACCAUACAACUGUUAUAGGGUCAAGGAAUGAAGUUGAUACGUAUGUACAUACAAGAAGCCUUCACGCUUUACUGUUCAUGGCAGGUUACUACAAAAAUUCGGAGAUGAGUUGCACAGUUACAGUUAAUAACUAAUGGAGCAUCUUUCUUCCCUGUUCUACUAUACAUAUGUUACAGCAACCCCAAAUUAGUUAGAGGCAUCUGUAGCGUUCUACGACCCCAUUGGAUGUCAUUUUGCACUACAUUACUUCCGAAUCUUUCUUCCCUGGUAUCCUGUUCUUCUUUGGCUAGAGAAAGGUCAUCAAGAUGUUUAACGUCAGUUUGCAAUGGUGUUUUGUUAGGCUCCUCUUCUUCUUUGUCUAAACGAGGAACAUCAAGUUUUCUGGUUACCUCGAAAAUUUUCACCUUUUGCGGAUCA